GCUGGCAGUCCAUAUUAUAGCUGCGUUCGGAAACGUCGCUCGGAUGCCUCCGAUGUCUCGGAUUCGUUAUCUGUCCUUUAACAUUAAAUGUUAAACGAAGACAGAUAAUGAAUCCGAGGCAUCGAAGGCAUCCGAGCGACAUUUCCGAACGCAGCCUAUAUAGUCAAAAGUGCGAACAACAGAAUUUUAUCAUUCUCGGUGGAAUCAAAAUAGGAUAAAAGACAAUUGAAAACGACUAAAAGUAAUAAUUAUUAAGACUUGAGUAAUAAAUAUUAAAACUAAUAAAUCGUCAAGCUGCUUGGCUUUCAAAAACGAAAAUUCGCUGCAGCGAAAAAGGCAGCAAAGAGCACAGCGGUCGAAGGAAAAAGAACAAAAUAGAUCAAAACGAGUCUAUUCAAGAUCACAGGUACUUUGUACUUGUUUGUGUAUACUAAGAAGUUUAAUAUAACAGUUGUGAGCUGGAAUUGAACUAAUUGAAGUAGACUGAAAUCAGUAACAACGGCUGUCUCCGACCAGAGAUUACUUUCAAUUCCUGAAAAUGUGAACGUCAUAGCAUGGAGAUUUUUAUAGGAAUGGAAAUUCCAAAAUAUAAAACUUAAACUGGAAACAUGAUAUGAUUCAUGGAAUUGGUUGGCAGGUUAUACAAGACUUAGCGCCGAGACACUACUGUCUCCAGAUAAGAAAAAUGUGACAUCAAUGAGAGGUUAAGAAGACAAAUAAAAAUCUGUGAUGUAUAUUUCCUGUGAUAAGUUGCGUACAUGUGUAGUAUAAAUGUAGCGUAUACAUGUAAUAUAAAUUUUUGUACUAAUGACCUGAUUCCUCGCAUACUGAUAAUUAGCUUACAUUUUCAUAUUUUUCACAAUGGCUCCUCAAAUUAAGUUUUUUUUGCCGAUUUCCGGGCAUUGCAGCAAUGCGUAUUAUUGGUCCGGAGGUGGGAUUGAGAAAAUAAAAAAUAAGCACUUCUACAGAAAAAAGUUAUUUCAACAAAAUGGAAAAAUAUUCGUGACAUUGAUGUUACACAAGAUUGUCGUAAUAAAUUCGUGUGUGAAGACCAUUUUCGGCAAACAGAUUUCGUUAAUUUUACUAGACAUGCUUUGAAUCCUUUCGCGGUUCCGUCGUGCUUAGAAGUUGAAUCGAACUUUAAUCCAAUAUAGGUUUCAGCUCCUUUUGAAAACAGUCCAAAAAAUACGAAUUAUUUGCAUCCACUGAAUUCUGUUGAAUCAUCUCUUGUUUGUAAUGAUUCGCGUGCAAUGUCCACAUUAAUUAAUGUGAUUAACAGAAACAAUAACUCUGUUCAUAAUGACAUAGCCUGUGAGAAUGCUGCCACUGACACUAACGUAACGGAAAGUUUAUGCAAAAAUAUUGCAAAUGUUGAAAAUGUUAAUUCCCACAUUUGUUCAAAAUCAGACAAUAGAGAAAACUGGGACCUGUUAUAUUGUAUACUCGAUAAUAUGAUCGACGAUACAGAUGAUAAUAAUAAGACAAUAGAUAAUAAUAUUUCAAUUGUAUCAACAGCACAAACAACACCAAAAAAAAGAAAAUUUGGUUUUUUGUCAGAGGCAAGUGUAUCUUCAAAGGAAAUGACGCCGCGCAAGAGUCGAAUGUACGAAGUUCAUCGAAAAGUUGCAAAAAAAAUGUAUAAAUUUAAAAGACAAUUGCAGAACAAAACGGACACUUUGAAACAAUUAAAAGAGUGGAGCUAUAAUCGUGGAGUUUUCGAAUGUAUAUAGAAUCGACUCAACGAGGUAACGAAAAAUUUCAUUGACUCUCAAUUACGAAACGUAGACCGGUCAUCUUUUGCGAGAAGAUGGACAGAACAAGAUAAGAUUUUUGCUUUAUCACUUUACAAGCGCAGUCCACGGGUAUAUAAAUAUCUGUCUAACUACUUUCAGUUACCA